UACGGGGGGGGCAAGCGUUGUUCGGAAUUACUGGGCGUAAAGGGCUCGUAGGUGGCCAACUAAGUCAGACGUGAAAUCCCUCGGCUUAACCGGGGAACUGCGUCUGAUACUGGAUGGCUUGAGUUCGGGAGAGGGAUGCGGAAUUCCAGGUGUAGCGGUGAAAUGCGUAGAUAUCGUGAGGAACACCAGAGGCGAAGGCGGCUACCUGGACAAUUGCUGACGCUCAGGCACGAAAGCGUGGGGGAGCAAAAGGG
rnacentral:rRNA from 1 species